GGACUACCCGGGUAUCUAAUCCUGUUUGCUCCCCACGCUUUCGCGCCUCAGCGUCAGUUGUGGUCCAGUUGGCCGCCUUCGCCACCGGUGUUCUUCCCAAUAUCUACGAAUUUCACCUCUACACUGGGAAUUCCACCAACCUCUCCCACACUCAAGCCUCGGAGUUUCGAGUGCAGUUCCUGGGUUGAGCCCAGGCAUUUCACACCCGACUAUCGAAGCCGCCUACGCGCCCUUUACGCCCAGUAAUUCCGAACAACGCUAGCCCCCUUCGUAUUACCGCGGCGGCUGGCAC
rnacentral:rRNA from 1 species